rnacentral:rRNA from 1 species
GAUGAACGCUGACAGAAUGCUUAACACAUGCAAGUCCACUUGAAUUUGGGUUUUUAACUUAGGUUUGGGUGGCGGACGGGUGAGUAACGCGUAAAGAACUUGCCUCACAGCUAGGGACAACGUUUGGAAACGAAUGCUAAUACCUAAUAUUAUGAUAAUAGGGCAUCCUAUAAUUAUGAAAGCUAUAAGCGCUGUGAGAGAGCUUUGCGUCCCAUUAGCUAGUUGGAGAGGUAACGGCUCACCAAGGCGAUGAUGGGUAGCCGGCCUGAGAGGGUGAUCGGCCACAAGGGGACUGAGACACGGCCCUUACUCCUACGGGAGGCAGCAGUGGGGAAUAUUGGACAAUGGACCGAGAGUCUGAUCCAGCAAUUCUGUGUGCACGAUGAAGUUUUUCGGAAUGUAAAGUGCUUUCAGUUGGGAAGAAACAAAUGACGGUACCAACAGAAGAAGUGACGGCUAAAUACGUG